GACAGAGGGUGCAAACGUUGUUCGGAAUUACUGGGCGUAAAGCGUGUGUAGGCGGUUUCAUAAGUCGGGCGUGAAAGCCCCGGGCUCAACCCGGGAAGUGCACUCGAUACUGUGAGACUUGAGUCUCGGAGAGGUGGGUAGAAUUCUCGGUGUAGAGGUGAAAUUCGUAGAGAUCGAGAGGAAUACCGGCGGCGAAGGCGGCCCACUGGACGAAGACUGACGCUGAGACACGAAAGCAUGGGGAGCAAACAGG
rnacentral:rRNA from 1 species